GGUAUAGCCCAGUUGGUAGAGUGCUUGCCUUGCAUGCUCAAGGCCCUGGGUUCAAUCCCCAGUACC
rnacentral:tRNA from 1 species